UUUGACCUCAAAUCGGGUAGGAUUACCCGCUGAACUUAA
rnacentral:rRNA from 1 species